CGUUAACGAACGAGACCCCCGCCUGCUAAAUAGCGGGGCUUACGCGCUCGCGUAGGUGCCAGCUACUUAGAGGGACUUUCGGUGACUAACCGAAGGAAGUUGGGGGC
rnacentral:rRNA from 1 species